GCGCAAGCCUGAUGCAGCCAUGCCGCGUGUGUGAAGGAAGGCCUUCGGGUUGUAAAGCACUUUCAGUAAGGAGGAAAGGUUAAGUGUUAAUAGCACUUAGCUGUGACGUACUACAGAAGAAGCACCGGCUAACUCCGUGCCAGCAGCCGCGGAAUACGGAGGGUGCGAGCGUUAAUCGGAAUUACUGGGCGUAAAGCGUACGCAGGCGGUUUGUUAAGCGAGAUGUGAAAGCCCCGGGCUCAACCUGGAACUGCAUUUCGAACUGGCAAACUAGAGUGUGAUAGAGGGUGGUAGAAUUUCAGGUGUAGCGGUGAAAUGCGUAGAGAUCUGAAGGAAUACCGAUGGCGAAGGCAGCCACCUGGGUCAACACUGACGCUCAUGUACGAAAGCGUGGGGAGCAAACAGGAUUAGAUACCCUGGAGUCCACGCCGUAAACGAUGUCUACUAGAAGCUCGGGUCUUCGGACUUGUUUU
rnacentral:rRNA from 1 species